rnacentral:rRNA from 1 species
AACGAACGCUGGCGGCAGGCUUAACACAUGCAAGUCGAACGAGAUCUUCGGAUCUAGUGGCAGACGGGUGAGGAACACGUGGGAACAUCCCUUUCAGUUCGGAAUAACGUUGGGAAACUAACGCUAAUACCGGAUACGUCCUUCGGGAGAAAGAUUUAUCGCUGAAAGAUUGGCCCGCGUCUGAUUAGCUAGUUGGUGAGGUAACGGCUCACCAAGGCUACGAUCAGUAGCUGAUCUGAGAGGAUGAUCAGCCACAUUGGGACUGAGACACGGCCCAAACUCCUACGGGGGGCAGCAGUGGGGAAUAUUGGACAAUGGGCGCAAGCCUGAUCCAGCCAUGCCGCGUGAGUGAUGACGGCCUUCGGGUUGUAAAGCUCUUUUGUCCCGGAAGAUAAUGACUGUACCGGAAGAAUAAGCCCCGGCAAACUUCGUGCCAGCAGCCGCCGUAA